rnacentral:rRNA from 1 species
UACGAAGGGGGCUAGCGUUGCUCGGAAUCACUGGGCGUAAAGAGCUCGUAGGCGGUUCGGCAAGUCAGCUGUGAAAUCUCCACGCUCAACGGUGGAGGGGUCAGCUGAUACUGCUGUGACUCGAGUCCGGUAGGGAGUGUGGAAUUCCCGGUGUAGCGGUGAAAUGCGCAGAUAGUCGGGAGGAACACCAGUAGCGAAGGCGGCACUCUGGGCCGGUACUGACGCUGAGGAGCGAAAGCGUGGGGAGCAAACAGG